rnacentral:rRNA from 1 species
GAUGAACGCUAGCUACAGGCUUAACACAUGCAAGUCGAGGGGCAGCAUGAACUUAGCUUGCUAAGUUUGAUGGCGACCGGCGCACGGGUGAGUAACACGUAUCCAACCCGCCGAUAACUCGGGGAUAGCCUUUCGAAAGAAAGAUUAAUACCCGAUGGUAUAAUCAGACCGCAUGGUCUUGUUAUUAAAGAAUUUCGGUUAUCGAUGGGGAUGCGUUCCAUUAGGCAGUUGGUGAGGUAACGGCUCACCAAACCUUCGAUGGAUAGGGGUUCUGAGAGGAAGGUCCCCCCACAUUGGAACUGAGACACGGUCCAAACUCCUACGGGAGGCAGCAGUGAGGAAUAUUGGGUCAAUGGGCGCAGGGCCUGAACCAGCCAAGUAGCGUGAAGGAUGACUGCCCUAUGGGUUGUAAACUUCUUUUAUAUGGGAAUAAAGUUUUUCCACGUGUGGAAUUUUGUAUGUACCAUAUGAAUAAGGA